rnacentral:rRNA from 1 species
AUGACAACUUACGAAGAAACAAGGGAUCAAAACAAGGACUCGCAUAUGGUGUUCGUUAACUUGGAGAAGAUAUCGCAGAAUGUCAUGUGUUGGGACUUGGAGAAACACAAAGUCCCAACAAAGCACAUUACCCUCAUCAAGGCCAUGUACAACAAUGUUGAGACAAGUUUUCAAACAAGUGAUUUUGACACUAAUGACUUCCCAGUUAAAAUAGUACUGCACCAAGGGUCAGCUUUGAGCCCUUAUCUUUAUGCUUUGGUGAUGGAUGAGGUCACAAGAGAUAUAGAAGGAAAAAGCCCAAGGUGUAUGCUCUUUGCGGAUGAUGAUGUGGUGUUAGUCGAUGAUAGGCUUAGUAGGAUUAAAACUAGGUAUAUGAGGUGCGGUUCCAGUACUACUAGGCACGAGGAGAAAGUUAGCCUUGAUGGGCAACUGGUACCUCAAAAGUACACCUUCUAA